GACGAACGCUGGCGGCGUGCUUAACACAUGCAAGUCGAACGGAAAGGCCUGCAGCUUGCUGCGGGUACUCGAGUGGCGAACGGGUGAGUAACACGUGGGUGAUCUGCCUUGCACUUCGGGAUAAGCUUGGGAAACUGGGUCUAAUACCGGAUAGGACAGCUGUUUAGUGUCAGUUGUGGAAAGUUUUUUCGGUGCAAGAUGAGCUCGCGGCCUAUCAGCUUGUUGGUGGGGUAAUGGCCUACCAAGGCGUCGACGGGUAGCCGGCCUGAGAGGGUGUACGGCCACAUUGGGACUGAGAUACGGCCCAGACUCCUACGGGAGGCAGCAGUGGGGAAUAUUGCACAAUGGGCGGAAGCCUGAUGCAGCGACGCCGCGUGGGGGAUGAAGGCCUUCGGGUUGUAAACUCCUUUCGACAGGGACGAAGCGUAAGUGACGGUACCUGUAUAAGAAGCACCGGCUAACUACGUGCCAGCAGCCGCGGUAAUACGUAGGGUGCGAGCGUUGUCCGGAAUUACUGGGCGUAAAGAGCUCGUAGGUGGUUUGUCGCGUCGUCUGUGAAAUUCCGGGGCUUAACUCCGGGCGUGCAGGCGAUACGGGCUGACUUGAGUGCUGUAGGGGAGACUGGAAUUCCUGGUGUAGCGGUGAAAUGCGCAGAUAUCAGGAGGAACACCGAUGGCGAAGGCAGGUCUCUGGGCAGUAACUGACGCUGAGGAGCGAAAGCAUGGGUAGCGAACAGGAUUAGAUACCCUGGUAGUCCAUGCCGUAAACGGUGGGCGCUAGGUGUAGGGGGCUUCCACGUCUUCUGUGCCGUAGCUAACGCAUUAAGCGCCCGCCUGGGGAGUACGGCCGCAAGGCUA
rnacentral:rRNA from 1 species